AACGAACGCUGGCGGCAUGCCUAACACAUGCAAGUCGAACGAGGCCUUCGGGUCUAGUGGCGCACGGGUGCGUAACGCGUGGGAACCUGCCCUUAGGUUCGGAAUAACUCCCCGAAAGGGGUGCUAAUACCGGAUAAUGUCUUCGGACCAAAGAUUUAUCGCCUUUGGAUGGGCCCGCGUUGGAUUAGCUAGUUGGUAGGGUAAAAGCCUACCAAGGCGACGAUCCAUAGCUGGUCUGAGAGGAUGAUCAGCCACACUGGGACUGAGACACGGCCCAGACUCCUACGGGAGGCAGCAGUGGGGAAUAUUGGACAAUGGGCGAAAGCCUGAUCCAGCAAUGCCGCGUGAGUGAUGAAGGCCUUAGGGUUGUAAAGCUCUUUUACCCGGGAUGAUAAUGACAGUACCGGGAGAAUAAGCUCCGGCUAACUCCAU
rnacentral:rRNA from 1 species